rnacentral:rRNA from 1 species
GCAGUCUGCAACUCGACUGCAUGAAGCCGGAAUCGCUAGUAAUCGCGGAUCAGAAUGCCGCGGUGAAUACGUUCCCGGGUCUUGUACACACCGCCCGUCACACCAUGGGAGUCGGUAACGCCCGAAGCCAGUGACCCAACUGAGAAGAGGGAGCUGUCUAAGGCGGGACCGAUAACUGGGGUGAAGUCGUAACAAGGUAAC